AAAUUUAAAACAAUAAUUUAGUUUAAGUGAGUUUGAUUGUGAUUAUAGU
rnacentral:guide_RNA from 1 species